GUGGGGAAUCUUGCGCAAUGGGCGAAAGCCUGACGCAGCCAUGCCGCGUGAAUGAUGAAGGUCUUAGGAUUGUAAAAUUCUUUCACCGGGGACGAUAAUGACGGUACCCGGAGAAGAAGCCCCGGCUAACUUCGUGCCAGCAGCCGCGGUAAUACGAAGGGGGCUAGCGUUGCUCGGAAUUACUGGGCGUAAAGGGCGCGUAGGCGGACAGGUUAGUCAGAGGUGAAAGCCCAGGGCUCAACCUUGGAAUUGCCUUUGAUACUGGCUGUCUUGAGUACGGGAGAGGUGAGUGGAACUCCGAGUGUAGAGGUGAAAUUCGUAGAUAUUCGGAAGAACACCAGUGGCGAAGGCGACUCACUGGCCCGUUACUGACGCUGAGGCGCGAAAGCGUGGGGAGCAAACAGGAUUAGAUACCCUUGUAGUCC
rnacentral:rRNA from 1 species